AUUUCUUUGUUUGAGGAGAUUAGUGUAAGUCCAUUGAGUGGCAUCUGAUAUCCAGUUCUGUUUUAGGAGAUUGGUAUAAGCCCAGUGAUUGGCAUCCGAUAUCCGCUUUUGUUGACUUUCUUCUUUGUUUGCUUAUUAUUAUCCAUUGUUAUUCCAAAGGACACACUUGAAUCAUCUUCUAUAUGAUUUCAAGAAGUGAACCUUCU
rnacentral:lncRNA from 1 species